CAAUUGUUUGUUUCUUUUAAUCCUUGGAGCAGCCUCGUUGGUAGGGGUCCUUUCUCACUUUAACUCAGGAGAUGAGGAUAGGGGCCAAGCAGUCACGUGACUUAAUCAAGCACCUGAAGCUAGUCAGUUCCUAAGGCGCUGAGACCCUGCCCCAGGUCUUUGGGGUUCUAAAGUUCAAAUUCUUUCAGUUACCUGCAUUGCAUGAUAUCCCAAGCAUGUGGGCUUUCAAAGAAUGCCCACAAUCUGGGCUGUUAAAAAAAAAAAAAACAACAAAAAACCACCAGGAGAACAAUUGCUGAGGCUGAAUUCAAGCUACUGACUCACAGAACUCCUGACUGUAACCUUCUGCUUCCAGCAUGCACCUGGAGCAUCCUUCAGAUGGGCCGGCUAUGCUGGUUAGGACAACUGCAAGAGGACCCUGGGUGUCCUGGGCCCUGGAGGGCUUUCUGAGUGUGACUCGACGAACCCCAUCUAUGAAAUGGGUCUGGCUAUCGCUUGUGUCUCAUGUCCACAGCUCUGGGUUCUGCACGUUCGGGGAGGCUGGGGCCCAGUCUUGCAGCAGUUGGCAGACUCCUGGCAGAACCCACUGGGAGUAGAAGUUCAAGAAGGGAGCCAGCCAUGAGUGAACACCAGCUACAUGCAUUCUGAAAAUGCCCAUCUUAAACAUACCAAGAAGAUCCUGGUGCUGAGAAGAAAAUGAAACAAUAUGUCAGCAUUGACUGGGGGAGGGAAAGCUUUUAGAGGUCAAAUUUAGCUCCUGCAUUACUCAGGUGAUAAAGUAGAGUUUGGGAGAAAUUAAAAGAAUUGUCAAGGUCAUCUAGGUUGCUGGUGGCAGAACAGGAUCCCGGAGCCAGGCAUUCUCCUCUUGGCUUGAUCUCAUUUUUUCGUGCACACGUGCUAAGUCGCUUCAGUUGUGUCUGACUCUUCUCGACCCCAGGGACUAUAGCCCGCCAGGCUCCUCUGUCCAUGGGAUUCUCCAGACAAGAAUACUGGAGUGGGUUACCAUUUUCUUCUUCAGGGGAUCUUCCUGACCCAGGCUUUAAACUUGCAUCUCUUAGGUCUCCUGCAUUGGCAGGUGAGUUCUUUACUGUUGAUCUCAUCCUUGGGCACCAUAAAUUUGACUCUUUUGGUAUCUUGGAAACUCCAAAUGUGCAGGAAUCAGGUCUUGUUUUGUAAGCAGUUGUAAAGGAGAGUUAUGAUUGAAACCUUUCCAUCUAAAGGAGAUUGCCAAACACUUACCUGGAAUGUUUCCGAGGAGUCUUUCAGUAAUUUACAUUACUCUUACCUGGAUGGGAGACCACCUGGCUCAGCUCAUCUCUGUUCUCACUGAUGUAGCCGUUUACAGUAGGAACCACCUCAGAAACAAAACUUUGCUAAUUUGAUAGCGGGAAAGAUGGCAUCACAGUCAUUUGCAUGUUUCCUUCUUUGAUUUACAGUGUGGCUGGGCAUUUUCUGGUAUGUCCGUUGCCUAUAUGUAUUCAUUCUGUUCUGAGUUGCUUAUUCAUGCCCUUUGCUCAUUUUUCUAUCAUACAGCUUUAAAAUUCAUUUUCAAGUAUGCUUUAUAUAGGAAUAUUAAUAACUAUUUUAAUAAAUAAAACAUGAACCUUGCA
ensembl:lncRNA